rnacentral:rRNA from 1 species
ACGGAGGGUGCAAGCGUUAUCCGGAUUCACUGGGUUUAAAGGGUGCGUAGGUGGAUUGGUAAGUCAGUGGUGAAAUCUCCGAGCUUAACUUGGAAACUGCCAUUGAUACUAUCAAUCUUGAAUAUUGUGGAGGUCAGCGGAAUAUGUCAUGUAGCGGUGAAAUGCUUAGAUAUGACAUAGAACACCAAUUGCGAAGGCAGCUGACUACGCAUAUAUUGACACUGAGGCACGAAAGCGUGGGGAUCAAACAG